rnacentral:lncRNA from 1 species
CUGCCUGCGGCCAGAUCCAGGCUGGAGAGGCUGCGGCUGCCAAGCUGACCUCGCUGCCCGCCUCGCAGGAGACGACUGCCCGGAGGCCUCAGCUGCACAUGCUGCUGAGUGUGAAGUCAGCGCGGUGCAACCCUAGACCUCGGCACAGGCGUGAAUACCCACCGACUCCCACUGUGGGGAUUAGGAUGUGUGAGCAGAGUCUUAGCGACUAGCUUCUCCUCCUCCCCAUAUCAACAUCCUUCAAUGCUGACUUCUCAAAGUAUGGUGCUAGGGAGUCACCUGGAAGCUUGUUACGCCCCUCCUCAGAACUACUGUGUCCAAAGCUGCAUUUAAACCAGAUCCUCGGGGGAUUUAGAGCUGGUUAACAAAAUGA